rnacentral:misc_RNA from 1 species
AUGCGAAAAGUAAUGCGAUUUGCACGAAUCUGUGAGUCAUCAAGUCUUUGAACGCACCUUGCACCGUAUGAGCAAUCGUACGGUAUACCUGUUUGAGAAUCGUAAAACUCUCUUUCUACUACUAGUUAGUGGAAGAUUUGUCGGUUGUGCAUCACUGCACUCUGAUUAAAAGGAUCAAGUUUGAAUCGGGCUGGUGGCCUGGGACAUUGUGUGCUAGAGACGUCGCUUCGGCUGACUGUCUUCUCACAAUGCGUCCUUGGCUACUUAAAGCUGGUCUGAUUUCGGGCUUUUCAGUAGUAAUCUUCACGGAAUACUACAAUCCCCCCUUUUGAUCUCAAAUCAGGUAAGGCUACCCGCUGAACUUAA